rnacentral:rRNA from 2 species
AGUCGAGCGGAGUUUUGAAAAGCUUGCUUUUCAAAACUUAGCGGCGGACGGGUGAGUAACACGUGGGCAACCUGCCCUUGAGACGGGGAUAACUCCGGGAAACCGGAGCUAAUACCGGAUAACACAUAUCUUCGCAUGAGGAUAUGUUAGAAGGUGGCUUUUAGCUACCACUCAAGGAUGGGCCCGCGGCGCAUUAGCUAGUUGGUGAGGUAACGGCUCACCAAGGCGACGAUGCGUAGCCGACCUGAGAGGGUGAUCGGCCACACUGGGACUGAGACACGGCCCAGACUCCUACGGGAGGCAGCAGUAGGGAAUCUUCCGCAAUGGACGAAAGUCUGACGGAGCAACGCCGCGUGAGUGAUGAAGGUUUUCGGAUCGUAAAGCUCUGUUGUUAGGGAAGAACAAGUAUCUGUUGAAUAAGCAGGUACCUUGACGGUACCUAACCAGAAAGCCACGGCUAACUACGUGCCAGCAGCCGCGGUAAUACGUAGGUGGCAAGCGUUGUCCGGAAUUAUUGGGCGUAAAGCGCGCGCAGGCGGUUCCUUAAGUCUGAUGUGAAAGCCCACGGCUCAACCGUGGAGGGUCAUUGGAAACUGGGGAACUUGAGUGCAGAAGAGGAGAGCGGAAUUCCACGUGUAGCGGUGAAAUGCGUAGAGAUGUGGAGGAACACCAGUGGCGAAGGCGGCUCUCUGGUCUGUAACUGACGCUGAGGCGCGAAAGCGUGGGGAGCGAACAGGAUUAGAUACCCUGGUAGUCCACGCCGUAAACGAUGAGUGCUAAGUGUUAGAGGGUUUCCGCUCUUUAGUGCUGCAGCAAACGCAUUAAGCACUCCGCCUGGGGAGUACGGUCGCAAGACUGAAACUCAAAGGAAUUGACGGGGACCC